UUAAUGUUAAAAUGCGCAGUUUGAAAAAUCUUGUAAAUGUUUGUAAAUUCACUUGGAAAAUGUUUAAACAUUUUCCAAAGUUAUACACGGUUUAACGAUCUACUUUCUGGCCUUUGUUAUUUAAAUGUGUUUCAUAUUAAAAUUUUAUGUAAUUUUAAAAUGUUCUAAAAAAAUUAAAAUUUUUAAAUCUCGAACAAUCUGUAGGACAUAUAUACAAAAACAAUUAAGAAAACAAUUAUAUAAAUUUGCAUUUGCGCUUGCAUUAAUAAUAAAUUAGCAAAUGUUGACAAUAAUAAACCUAGCCCUGAUGACUUUGACAUAUAUUGUCAAAGUCAUAAUCCUGAGAGCAGUCAUAAACCUUUAGACAGUUUUAACCGUUGUUUGUUAUUCGUUAAAAAGUUAUCAUAAAAAAAUUAAAAAUUUAGUGUAUCCCUGGCGAAAAAAUUUCUACACAAAAAGAAAUGUUACAAAGUCUACAAAACAAUGCUAAUAUUGUAACACUUUUGUUACUUAGUAAAUAAAUACAUAAUUCUAAGAAAAAAUAAAUAUCUUUAAGAAAGAAUAAAUAUUUCUACGACAAAAGACUAAUAAAUUAUAUAAAAUUAUACUUUUAGUAGAACUUUAUUUUUUUUAUAAAAGAUUUUUUUGCCAGAGUAAGCUAUUUAGAAUGUUAUAGUUCAUUAUAAUUUAACCGAGUUAGUAAGUUUACCGAGAAAUUUGUAGAAAUCCCAGAAAUGCACUCGUAUAAAUUUUUGUAACAUUUCUUAAAGUGUAGAAUUGUUUCCGCCCAGGAUUGUUUGAACUUUACUUAUAGUAUAAAUACAGGGUCCGAUUAAGGGGAAAUUUCGGUUUUUCGAGUAAAAAAAAUCGAUUUUUUUUACGGAAUAUUUUAGUUUAACAUCUUAAGAAUAUUUCCAGAAAAUUUUAUUUCAAAAUUCAUAAAACUUUUAGAGUUAUGAGUUGGUCUUUACUGACCCGAACGCAGGUUUUGAUGAAUUCGAUCAUAAACCGCCACUACAUGAAGAUGUUCAGCAAGCCAUAAAGCCAAUUUUUGAAGAUUUAUUAUCAAGAGAAUUGUUAAAAAAAUGUUUGGACGGUGAAACUCAAAAUAAUAACGAGAGCUUUUACUCCACCUGCGAUUUGCAACUAAACACCUUUAUUGUGAAUCAGAAAUAAUUGAAAUCGCGGUUUAUUUAGCAACCGGAAUUUUUAAUGAAGAUUUUUGUGCUAUUCUUAAAACUACGACAACGAUAGGAAGAGUUAUAGGAGAAAAAGCCAAAAUAUAUUCCGAAGAGCGAGAUCAGUACCGGGUUGAAAGAUCAGCGCGAUGAAACCUCGAAGCUCCAAAAGGAGCUUGGACAAAGCAUUGAAUCAAACAAAUGGCUCAAAACCAAUUCUACAAAGAAGAGGAAGAACUACUAUAUGGCCCUGGAAUAGCUGAGUAACAGAAAGUUAUACUACCUGGAAGAUCAAUACCGUGCACAUUAGUACAUGAAGAAUUUUGCACAGCGUUAUAUUUAAUUAUAUAUAGCUUCUGUAUUUAUAAUUAAAAAUUAACAAAAAAACUGUAUGUUUUUAAAAGAUGGAUAAAAACAUAGUGCAAAUUUUAAAUUAAUUGAAUAGUUUCGGAAAAAGAAUUCCUAAAUUUUCCUAUGUUUUUGCAAAAAAAA
rnacentral:lncRNA from 13 species